UUUUCGAAGAGUUUGAUCCUGGCUCAGAACGAACGCUGGCGGCAUGGCUAAGACAUGCAAGUCGUACGGGACUGGCCGUGGGUAACUGCGGUCGGUUCAGUGGCGGACGGGAGCGUAAUGCAUGGGUAACGUAUCCUUGACACGGGAAUAACAGCGGACCGCAAGGUUCUUUAGCGAAAGUGCUGCUAAUGCCCGAUGAAGUCGCCGGGUCGCAUGGCCUGGCGUCCAAAGGGCGGGGACCGGGUAACCGGCCUGCCGGUCUUGGAGCGGCCCAUGUCCUAUCAGCUAGUUGGUGAGGUAAUGGCUCACCAAGGCUACGACGGGUAGCGGGCGUGAGAGCGUGGCCCGCCUCAUCGGGACUGAGACACUGCCCGGACACCUACGGGUGGCUGCUGUAACGAAACUUGGGCAAUGGGCGCAAGCCUGACCCAGCAAUGCCGCGUGCAGGAGGAAGUC
rnacentral:rRNA from 1 species